ACUCCUACGGGAGGCAGCAGUGGGGAAUAUUGCACAAUGGGCGCAAGCCUGAUGCAGCCAUGCCGCGUGUAUGAAGAAGGCCUUCGGGUUGUAAAGUACUUUCAGCAGUGAGGAAGGUGGGUAUGUUAAUAGCAUACUCAUUUGACGUUAGCUGCAGAAGAAGCACCGGCUAACUCCGUGCCAGCAGCCGCGGUAAUACGGAGGGUGCGAGCGUUAAUCGGAAUUACUGGGCGUAAAGCGCAUGCAGGUGGUUUGUUAAGUCAGAUGUGAAAGCCCGGGGCUCAACCUCGGAAUUGCAUUUGAAACUGGCAAACUAGAGUACUGUAGAGGGGGGUAGAAUUUCAGGUGUAGCGGUGAAAUGCGUAGAGAUCUGAAGGAAUACCGGUGGCGAAGGCGGCCCCCUGGACAGAUACUGACACUCAGAUGCGAAAGCGUGGGGAGCAAACAGGAUUAGAUACCCUGUAGGCUCU
rnacentral:rRNA from 1 species